AUUGAACGCUGGCGGCAUGCUUUACACAUGCAAGUCGAACGGUAACAGGCCGCAAGGUGCUGACGAGUGGCGAACGGGUGCGUAAUGCAUCGGAACGUGCCCAGUCGUGGGGGAUAACUACUCGAAAGAGUAGCUAAUACCGCAUACGAUCUAUGGAUGAAAGCGGGGGACCGUAAGGCCUCGCGCGAUUGGAGCGGCCGAUGUCAGAUUAGGUAGUUGGUGGGGUAAAGGCUCACCAAGCCAACGAUCUGUAGCUGGUCUGAGAGGACGACCAGCCACACUGGGACUGAGACACGGCCCAGACGCCUACGGGAGGCAGCAGUGGGGAAUUUUGGACAAUGGGCGCAAGCCUGAUCCAGCAAUGCCGCGUGCAGGAAGAAGGCCUUCGGGUUGUAAACUGCUUUUGUACGGAACGAAACGGCUCUGGUUAAUACCCGGGGCUAAUGACGGUACCGUAAGAAUAAGCACCGGCUAACUACGUG
rnacentral:rRNA from 1 species